AGGACGAACGCUGGCGGCGUGCUUAACACAUGCAAGUCGAGCGGUAAGGCCUUUCGGGGUACACGAGCGGCGAACGGGUGAGUAACACGUGGGUGAUCUGCCCUGCACUUCGGGAUAAGCCUGGGAAACUGGGUCUAAUACCGGAUAUGACUUCAGGUUGCAUGACUUGGGGGUGGAAAGAUUUAUCGGUGCAGGAUGGGCCCGCGGCCUAUCAGCUUGUUGGUGGGGUAAUGGCCUACCAAGGCGACGACGGGUAGCCGACCUGAGAGGGUGACCGGCCACGACUGGGACUGAGACACGGCCCAGACUCCUACGGGAGGCAGCAGUGGGGAAUAUUGCACAAUGGG
rnacentral:rRNA from 1 species